GCCGGGGAGGCGGGGCAGUCUGUGGAGGAGACAGCAGCCGCGGGUCCUGGCGCAGAAUGUAGCAGCCGGCAGGGAGAGGAUGUCCCAGCUUCGAGGAAGUUACCCAUAUAACACCGGCAGCUGCAGAGACUUUGCAGCUUGGAGAUAGAUGCCUGAGCUUCUCCUGCCACCAGUCCACGCCGGCAUCUACUGUGACAGCAUGUCCAGCACAACAGUCACACAUAGCAGAGCCACGGAGGUCCUAUUAUCCAGCAGGUACGCCAGAGAAGCAGCACAGCCAGGCCACAGCCAACACUGCCUAGAGCUGAUGAUGGUGGGAAUGCAGGUUCUUCGUCUGUUCCGCCUCCACUAAGGCGCCCAUCACAGGGCAGCGUUACUGUGGCUACAAGGCCACCCAAGAGGCCCCGUGUUCAUGCUCCUGCUCCUGCACCAGCAUCACCACCCCAAAGGCGCAUCUCUGCAGUGUCUGCCAUGCCACCACUCGCUCUUUUGGCCAGCCCCCAAAAGUGAGGAUCCACAAUCCCCACAGUUGUCUGACCCAGCCAUCAUGAGCGACGAUGUCCAGCAGGACCGUGCCCAGGAGACCUUUACACUCCACCUGCAGCCCAUCGAUCCAACACAGGCAAACAUGCCUCAGGACAUACCCCAACCACCUCAAACAUCCCAAAGCCCCCAAAUGAGCACAACACCAGGGCCAACACAAAUGGGCCAAGAGUUUUGGUCAGGUUGGGCCUCACAACAGGCACAACACUACGCGUGCCUCACCACCAAAACACAAUACCUGUCAAGUCUGCCCCAUCAUUUGCCAAGAGUGAGUCGCAACUCGGGCAGACUCAUAGUGCAGGUGGGCAGAAUUGCGAACACUAUGGAGCAGAUGAGGGCAGACAACACCCAAAUGCAGGCUAACCUUCAGCGCAUCUUGGAUGAUCAACAGCGGCAGCAGCAAACACUAAUCCAGAUGAUCCAGCAUAACCAAUUAAUCAAUAACAAUCUGUCUCGAAUGAUUGGAAACAACACUGCCGCUUAUACACAGCUAAUGGCAAGUUUGAACAUUCUAACCCAAAAUCUAAGUGUGUUGGGCCCACACCAUGUGACCUCGAGCUCAGGGACAACAACCCCAAGCCAAACCCCAGUUCAAUCCCCAGUUUGACGUUCAAGUCGAAGCCGCACCCACGAGCCACCACAAUCCUCUGCACCCAGCACCCAAAAACGAAAAAAAUAAUAUUGACUGGCCAGAAUAUGGUGGCCAUUUAAUUAUUUAAAAUCUGUU